CCCAGCUCUAAGUCAGCUGGCCAGACGGCGUGUUUGGUGCAGUGUUACAGGGCUGGUAGAGGAAGACUCUGCUUCCGAGUGCAGCUGUGCAGACUCUGUGUUAGAGUGUGCUGCUGCUGCGCUGCUGCAGGGUCGAGCCCGCUGAGAGUGGCCUGCCCUGACCCACCAGCAAGGCAGGCCUAGUACAGGGCUGCACAUG
rnacentral:snoRNA from 1 species